rnacentral:rRNA from 1 species
ACGAACGCUGGCGGCGUGCCUAACACAUGCAAGUCGAGCGGAGACAGUGAGUAGCUUGCUAUGAACUGUUUUAGCGGCGGACGGGUGAGUAACGCGUGAGCAACCUUUCCCAGACAGGGGAAUAACACACCGAAAGGUGUACUAAUACCGCAUAAGACCACGGAAUCACAUGGUUCUGAGGUAAAAGAUUUAUCGGUUUGGGGUGGGCUCGCGUCCGAUUAGGUAGUUGGUGAGGUAACGGCCCACCAAGCCGACGAUCGGUAGCCGACCUGAGAGGGUGAUCGGCCACAUUGGGACUGAGACACGGCCCAAACUCCUACGGGAGGCAGCAGUGGGGAAUAUUGGGCAAUGGGGGGAACCCUGACCCAGCAACGCCGCGUGGAGGAAGAAGGUUUUCGGAUCGUAAACUCCUGUCCUUGGAGACGAGUAGAAGACGGUAUCCAAGGAGGAAGCCCCGGCUAACUACGUGCCAGCAGCCGCGGUAAUACGUAGGGGGCAAGCGUUGUCCGGAAUAAUUGGGCGUAAAGGGCGCGUAGGCGGCUCGGUAAGUCUGGAGUGAAAGUCCUGCUUUUAAGGUGGGAAUUGCUUUGGAUACUGUCGGGCUUGAGUGCAGGAGAGGUUAGUGGAAUUCCCAGUGUAGCGGUGAAAUGCGUAGAGAUUGGGAGGAACACCAGUGGCGAAGGCGACUAACUGGACUGUAACUGACGCUGAGGCGCGAAAGUGUGGGGAGCAAACAGGAUUAGAUACCCUGGUAGUCCACACUGUAAACGAUGAAUGCUAGGUGUAGGGGGUAUCGACCCCUUCUGUGCCGCAGUCAACACAAUAAGCAUUCCGCCUGGGGAGUACGGCCGCAAGGUUGAAACUCAAAGGAAUUGACGGGGGCCCGCACAAGCGGAGGAACAUGUGGUUUAAUUCGAUGAUACGCGAGGAACCUUACCCGGGCUUGAAUUGCAACUGAAUGAUGUGGAGACAUGUCAGCCGCAAGGCAGUUGUGAAGGUGCUGCAUGGUUGUCGUCAGCUCGUGUCGUGAGAUGUUGGGUUAAGUCCCGCAACGAGCGCAACCCUUAUCUUCAGUUACUAACGCGUGAGGGUGAGGACUCUGAAGAGACUGCCGGGGACAACUCGGAGGAAGGUGGGGACGACGUCAAAUCAUCAUGCCCCUUAUGACCUGGGCUACACACGUGCUACAAUGGCCACGACAGAGAGAAGCGAAAUCGUAAGGUAGAGCGGAACUCAAAAAAGUGGUCCCAGUUCGGAUUGUGGGCUGCAACCCGCCCACAUGAAGUCGGAGUUGCUAGUAAUCGCGGAUCAGCAUGCCGCGGUGAAUACGUUCCCGGGCCUUGUACACACCGCCCGUCACACCAUGGGAGUUGGGAGUGCCCAAAGCCGGUGAGGCAACCGCAAGGAGCCAGCCGUCUAAGGCAAGACCAAUGACUGGGGUG